rnacentral:rRNA from 1 species
CCUACGGGUGGCAGCAGUGGGGAAUAUUGGGCAAUGGGCGAAAGCCUGACCCAGCAACGCCGCGUGAAGGAAGAAGGCUUUCGGGUUGUACACUUCUUUUGACAGGGAAGAGCAGAAGACGGUACCUGUCGAAUAAGCAACGGCUAACUCAGUGCCAGCAGCCGCGGUAAUACGUAGGUGGCAAGCGUGGUCCGGAUUUACUGGGGGUAACGGGCGUGUGGCCGGGCUGACAAGUCAGAUGUGAAAGCCAGGGGCUCAACCCCCGAACUGCAUUUGACACUGUUGGUCUUGAGUAUCGGAGAGGCAGGCGGAAUGCCUAGUGUCGCGGUGAAAUGCGUAGAUAUUAGGAGGACCACCAGUGGCGAAGGCGGACUGCUGGACGACAACUGACGGUGAGGCGCGAAAGCGUGGGGAGCAAACAGGAGUAGAUACCCUGGUAGUC